AUGAUGCAUUCACUCAGUAUGCUCUGUCUAUCACUAAACAUAUCACUGACUGCACCUUGCCAGGGAGAAAGAAAACAAGGACAUGGCACAGAUGAAACAGAAGCAGUUAACAGACACAGAUAUUUAACUUGUGUACAUGUGUAUCUCAGCAGGAUUGAACUUCUGAUCAAGUCAUCAGAUGGUACUAACAAAUUGAUUCAAGUGGCAAACCUGAUUGCUAUCGAGCAGGCCCACUUGAUCCCUCAAAUUCAAUUGAUGUUCGGCAGGACAAGCCAAGAUGUUAUCUCUGUGCUUUUGGAUUUGUGA
rnacentral:rRNA from 1 species